rnacentral:rRNA from 1 species
GACGAGCGCUGGCGGCGCGCCUAACACAUGCAAGUCGAACGAGCGAGAGAGAGCUUGCUUUCUCGAGCGAGUGGCGAACGGGUGAGUAACGCGUGAGGAACCUGCCUCAAAGAGGGGGACAACAGUUGGAAACGACUGCUAAUACCGCAUAAGCCCACGGGUCGGCAUCGACCAGAGGGAAAAGGAGCAAUCCGCUUUGAGAUGGCCUCGCGUCCGAUUAGCUAGUUGGUGAGGUAAUGGCCCACCAAGGCGACGAUCGGUAGCCGGACUGAGAGGUUGAACGGCCACAUUGGGACUGAGACACGGCCCAGACUCCUACGGGAGGCAGCAGUGGGGAAUAUUGCACAAUGGGGGAAACCCUGAUGCAGCGACGCCGCGUGGAGGAAGAAGGUCUUCGGAUUGUAAACUCCUGUUGUUGAGGAAGAUAAUGACGGUACUCAACAAGGAAGUGACGGCUAACUACGUGCCAGCAGCCGCGGUAAAACGUAGGUCACAAGCGUUGUCCGGAAUUACUGGGUGUAAAGGGAGCGCAGGCGGGAAGACAAGUUGGAAGUGAAAUCUAUGGGCUCAACCAUAAACUGCUUUCAAAACUGUUUUUCUUGAGUAGUGCAGAGGUAGGCGGAAUUCCCGGUGUAGCGGUGGAAUGCGUAGAUAUCGGGAGGAACACCAGUGGCGAAGGCGGCCUACUGGGCACCAACUGACGCUGAGGCUCGAAAGUGUGGGUAGCAAACAGGAUUAGAUACCCUGGUAGUCUACACCGUAAACGAUGAUUACUAGGUGUUGGAGGAUUGACCCCUUCAGUGCCGCAGUUAACACAAUAAGUAAUCCACCUGGGGAGUACGACCGCAAGGUUGAAACUCAAAGGAAUUGACGGGGGCCCGCACAAGCAGUGGAGUAUGUGGUUUAAUUCGACGCAACGCGAAGAACCUUACCAAGUCUUGACAUCCCUUGACGAACAUAGAAAUAUGUUUUCUCUUCGGAGCAAGGAGACAGGUGGUGCAUGGUUGUCGUCAGCUCGUGUCGUGAGAUGUUGGGUUAAGUCCCGCAACGAGCGCAACCCUUACUGUCAGUUACUACGCAAGAGGACUCUGGCAGGACUGCCGUUGACAAAACGGAGGAAGGUGGGGAUGACGUCAAAUCAUCAUGCCCUUUAUGACUUGGGCUACACACGUACUACAAUGGCGUUAAACAAAGAGAAGCAAGACCGCGAGGUGGAGCAAAACUCAGAAACAACGUCCCAGUUCGGACUGCAGGCUGCAACUCGCCUGCACGAAGUCGGAAUUGCUAGUAAUCGUGGAUCAGCAUGCCACGGUGAAUACGUUCCCGGGCCUUGCACU